rnacentral:rRNA from 1 species
AGUGAACGCUGGCGGUAGGCCUAACACAUGCGAGUCGAACGGCAGCACAGUAAGAGCUUGCUCUUACGGGUGGCGAGUGGCGGACGGGUGAGGAAUACAUCGGAAUCUACUUUUUCGUGGGGGAUAACGUAGGGAAACUUACGCUAAUACCGCAUACGACCUACGGGUGAAAGCAGGGGAUCUUCGGACCUUGCGCGAUUGAAUGAGCCGAUGUCGGAUUAGCUAGUUGGCGGGGUAAAGGCCCACCAAGGCGACGAUCCGUAGCUGGUCUGAGAGGAUGAUCAGCCACACUGGAACUGAGACACGGUCCAGACUACUACGGGAGGCAGCAGUGGGGAAUAUUGGACAAUGGGCGCAAGCCUGAUCCAGCCAUACCGCGUGGGUGAAGAAGGCCUUCGGGUUGUAAAGCCCUUUUGUUGGGAAAGAACAGCAGCAGGUUAAUACCCCGCUGUUCUGACGGUACCCAAAGAAUAAGCACCGGCUAACUUCGUG